rnacentral:rRNA from 1 species
AUUGAACGCUGGCGGCGGGCCUAACACAUGCAAGUCGAACGAGUGGCGGACGGGUGAGUAAUGUCUGGGAAACUGCCUGAUGGAGGGGGAUAACUACUGGCAACGGUAGCUAAUACCGCAUACCAUCAGAUGUGCCCAGAUGGGAUUAGCUGGUUGGUGGGGUAACGGCUCACCAGGGCGACGAUCCCUAGCUGGUCUGAGAGGAUGACCAGCCACAUGGGAACUGAGACACGGUCAAGACUCCUACGGGAGGCAGCAGUGGGGAAUAUUGCACAAGGGGCGCAAGCCUGAUGCAGCAAGGCCGCGUGUAGGAAGAAGGCCUUCGGGUUGUAAAGUACUUUCAGCGGGGAGGCGUUACCCGAAGAAGAAGCACCGGCUAACUCCGUGCCAGCAGCCGCGGUAAUUC